GUUAACAGUGGACGACAGUGCUGGGAAGAGCAGAGGAGGGCAAGGAGUGAGCCCCUGGGGGAGCACGUUGGGCAGAAGGAGUGUGCCUUACUAGUGAAGAAAGGUUCUUAGAAGAGAGCCAGGUUGUGGUGCACCUGGUUCAGUGCACAUAGUUCGAAGCACAAGGACCCAUGAAAGAAUCCCAUUUCAGGCCCCUGGCUUCCCACCUGCAAGAGGAGUCUCUUCACAAGCAGUGAAGCAGGUUCCAGAUGCUACCAUGAUGCUAACCUGACUUCCCUGGGCAGAUGAGCCCAUUACUGUGUCCUGAAGCCUCACCUCCCCAGAUCACUGUCCCACUAGGGAAAGAGACAGGUUGGGAGUGUAUGGAUUGACCUGCCAAUGCCCAUAUUCAGUGGGGAAGCAAUUACAGAAGCCAGACCUUCCACUUUCUGCACCCCAUAAUGAUCCUGGGUCCAUACUCCCAAAAAGAUAAAGAAUAGGAAAGCUAUCAAGAAAGGGGAUUGGAUAUGGAGUUCUGGUGGUGGGAAUUGUGUGGAAUUGUUCCCCCUUUAUCUUAUAGUCAUGCAAAUAUUUCCAUUUUAUAAAUAAAUAUAAUAAC